GGUUUACCAAUAAACACAGCUAGAGUUCAAUUAGUUUUAUCAGGUUUUAUCAGGUAAAGCGAAUGAUUAGAGGCCUCGGGGGAGAGUUGUCCUCCACCUAUUCUCUAACUGCAAAUGGGUAAGAUCCAGCGGUUACUUCAAUGAACUGCUGUCGUUAAUAUGAACUCCAAGUGGGCCAUUUUUGGUAAGGAGAACUGGCGAAGAGGAAUGCUCCUAAUGCUUGCUUAAGGCCCCUAACUACUCGCUCAUGAGAGACCAGCUUCUGCCGAGAAGCUUCUAAAAGUCUGUAUGUGCUCCACAAAAGCAGUA
rnacentral:ncRNA from 1 species